ACGGAGACCGCGGCUCGAGCAGGUCGCGCAGGCCGAGGGCGCUCCGCGGGCCUCGCGGGCCUCGCGGGCCUCGUGGGAGUAGUGGGCCGGGGACCGCGAGUCGGCAGUGCAGCUCUUGUGGGAUUCCUUCAACGACUGGUCCGUUGACUCAAUUGGCAAGCUCCCCCAAUUAAAACGCAAACUCUGUGUUUCCCCCUGUCGGCGUGGCCCUGUGAUCCUCCCCCUGUGUUGCAACGUCGCGGUGCCUCGUGCUCCAAAGUGUCCCCGCGAGGUCGGAAGACUUUAGCAGGUGUCGCCCGGCGUGGCGCCGCUGGCCGCGCCUUGUAGAGAGAGGCGGGGCCUCCCACCCUCCGCCCGCUGGACGGCCUCCACGAGCUCCACAGCCAUGUAUGUACUUGUUGCAAUAAAAUAUCUGCCCUGCCCAUAAA